UUCUCGAGAGGUCAGAUCACCUACACCAGCGAAGAAGUCCACGACUUGACUCCAAAUGACCUACCAAUCAGCGACUCAGAUCUUCUGGAGCCCUUGCAACCACUCAAUGACAGCAGCCUCAUCAGAGGAUACUUCAACAUUGACAUUCCCUUAGGGCCAUUGACUUCACCUUAUCUUAAGGUCCUGAUAUGGUACUCCCGCAGCGAUGGCGAGGUCGUAUCAGCCUCUGCAAGCGCUGCCGUGAGCAAAUGUCUCAGGAACCCGACCUCUCUCAGGUGGGAGACGAAAACGGACGCUUUGCCCUCUCCCAAGGAUGACGUUAGUCUUGUCCUUUCGUCCGCGCCGAGCUCCAUCUGUGGCUUAGGGGUGGUGGAUGAAAGCAUUGAACUGCUCUCUGGAGGUCAGCGAGGAACCCCGACACUUGGAACAAUAUUCCAGUUGU